CAGCUUAUGUCUGAAUAAUAAAAAGUUUCCCUUUCACUUUCAACUCUAUUACAUGAGCUCCAAAUUCAGUCUAUUUUUGCAAGGAAAAUAUAUAAUAUCACUAUUUGAAGAAAAACGGAAGCUGAAAGGACGAAGAAGCUUCAUAAUUCUGCUUUAAACUUGAUUUUGCUUACUUCACCUGUGUUGUUUGAUCUUUGGGAUCAUAUUAAACAAUCACUGGUCAAAGAUGCUGGGAGAGACUUGUCUCUUUCUUUGUACGCAUCUUGGUGCCAUUCGCCAAUGACAAUGAUAAGCCUCUGCCCAUUAGCUCAGGUAAGCUUUACAGCCUGCAAGUUUUCAGGUAUUCCUCAUACCUGUAUCAAGCAUUUGUUCCCUUUUUUUCAUACAAAAUAUAUAAAUGAGCUCCAUCCUUGUAACUGUCAUAUCAGUAUGCAAGUUCUGUUAUUUAGUAUUUGGUUGAAAAAGAUUUCUAUGUGAAGUUCUUAGUGCAACUACAUAAGUUGAUCCACCUUUUAGAGACUCCAACCUUUACUUACUUAGGAUACUGGUGUUUUAAAUUGUAAAAUGUUCAGAAUGGUGAAUUCGGAUACCGUCCUAGUACCUCCUCCCGUUGAUAUAUUUCUUUGUAGUGGGUUGUGAAAUUUGUUCUGUUUUCAUUUGCUUAAGGUUGUUUUUAGGGCGUAUGUUUUUUUUUUAAGAACCUAAGAACUUAUUCCAGUAGAAAGAUUUAGUUUUGGUCCUUUUGAAUGUACAUAUAGAUGGAUCCGUGUCAUCCCAGUAUCGUUGUUUUCAUUCAGACCCUGAAGCAAUUCUUGUUGUUUUCCAAGAAUUUUGUCAUGUAGAACCAAAUCAUUUCGAAUACAUCCCACAUGUACUCAGAGGCAUCGCCACUAUAUGGGUCAGGUUUUGGUGCAGAAUGUUCAAAUUGAGUCAUUGCGAUCCAUGGAGGGUUUGCCCAAGUGUUCUGCAAAUUAUGUUCCUUUGACACGCAUAAAUUUCUUAGAGAGAACAGAAAAUGUGUUUACAUUAACAACUUCUAUCAUUGAUGGACCUUCUGUCAAGUACACUUGGGAAGAGACAAAUGCUAGGUGUAUAAAGCUUGCUUCUGCUUUGUCUGACCUUGGCAUUUCUCGUAAAGAUGUGGUAACUUUCUAAAUUCUAACACAUUCUCAGUUGCACCUUAUGUCUCAAUUUAUGUUGUACACUUUCCUUUUUAGUCGGUGUUAAAAAGAAUGACACGUUUCUUUAUUUGAUAAAUAUUUAAUGACACUAUCAAAUUUUAGCUGAGUCAAAACUUAGGUGGUUUGUUCUUAUCUGCCCGAAUCUUGGCAGAUAGAGUUUUUCAGAUAGUAGGUAUCCAUUGGAAUAGUCGAGGUGUGGACGUGUUGCCAGAUAUUGUUGUAAUCUCCAUAGAGAGACCUUAAGCUUCUCUCUGAACAAUUGAGAAUUAUUUUUACUUCUAUUGACUGCAAAGCUGGCAGUAAAACAAAGAGGAAAAUAAAGAGUUAAUCAUAUUUGACAGUUGCCUACUUAACUGAAAAUAUUUAUCAGGUAAAUAAAGAGUUUUGGUUAUUACCUUGACUCUUUACUCUAUCAAAGUGCUUCUUUGUGUCAUGCUAAAAGAGUUCAAGGUAAUAACCAUGACAGAGAUGGAUAGAGAAAGGAGGAGAAAAUGUUACCUUUGUAAUGUUGUUAGUCAUUUGAUAUCUCCUCUGUUGUGUUAGCUGAUUGUUUGUCGCUUUUACUCCCCACUCUUCCCAAUCUCACUUUGUAGGAAUACAUUGACUAUGUUGUUGUUAUUGUAUUUCUUUUCCCAAAAUAUGGUGUACUAUGUUGUCUUGAGUUGUGUAUUGAGGUUUCCUUUCCUCUUGAUAUAUUAUAUGUCUAUCAGAUAUGUUACAUGCUCUAGCAGAAUAUUAGAAGUUUUUAUUAGUUAGCUUUCUUAAAUGACUUGUUCAGUUCUUCAUUCUUCACUCAUAUUUAUCUUUGAUUCAAAAUAAGGAUAUGUCUCAAUCUAGGUCACGCAGUGCAAUUAACAACUCAGGCCAUGUCAACAAUUAGGUGCAGAACGAUAUGUUGGGCGGGAUGGGUCGGGCCAUGUUAUAUUUACCUCUUUCUAUUUCUUCUUUCAUUGCACUACAGUUACCAUUUGGCUGUUGCUACUUCAAUGGGAAGGACUCACCAUAUGGUUCAAAUGGACGGCUCAAGGAAUAGCUCAUCCACCAAUGAACGUUCCACAUUUUUUAGGGUUUCCAACUCAUGAUAAUUCAUCUCUGUAAUACCCCAUAAAAUCCUAAGUCCGAAAUUCAGCUCGUUUAGCUCUUAAAACUCUUUAAAAGAUUCAACACUUAGAAAAUUUUGGCAAGUAUUCCAACACUUAGCCUAUUUGGCAAUUUGCAUGCGUCGUAUGCUCUAUAGCAUGCUUCAGAAAUUUUCAACAUUUCAGGGUCAAUUUUAAACGAUCAUAACUUCCUGUAUAUAUUUAACUGUGAGAGAUGCUAUAUAUAAAUGGAAAUCUCUUUGAGUCCUCUUUCCAAUGCAAUUGGUAUCAUCCAAUUUGAACAUCGAAGUAAAAAGUUAUGAUCAAUUUACUUCAGCCUAUCAGACAGUCAACGGAGAGACAGCUGCGUCUUUCUCUCUUUCUUUAGGGGCAUUUUGGUCAUCUUCCACCCCUAUAUAUACCCCUUAACACCGAAUUAAGCCUCAUUUUCAGAAAAAUAUACUCCUUUUCACUAAUUUCUCUCAAGAACAAUAAGAGGGGUUUUCAAUUGAGGAUCCAAAUUCUAGAAUUUUCCUCGUCAAUCUUCGUAAAAUCAAGAAUUAAGGUAUGCGUAGUGUUCAUCCAUAGAUUCCUUUCAUCCAUGGAGCUCAAGAAUCAAGUUUUAAAUUAUGUAUUGUGAAUACUUUGUUGUGGUAUGAUUAUGUUCAUGUUGAUGGUUGUUGUAUGGUUUCAAGUUGGAAUUUUUAUGUAUUUUCAUGAAGCUAUGUUAGUUAGUAUGUAAGUUGAAAUCUAUGAAAUUAGUUGUUUAUGAUAUCUAUAUUGUUGGAUGUUGAUAAUCAAGUUGUUGAUGUUGAAUGAUUCCCAAGUUGGAAUCUUUAAUUGUUAUUAUGAAUCUAUGACACCAUGUGAGUUGAAAACAUGUAAAACUUGGUUGUUCAUGAUGUAAAAUCUUAUGGUUUCACCUAUGCCUAAAUUAUGCAUGCAAGGUGUUCGAUGAAAUGCCUAGAAUAAUAAUAAUCACAUUUUCAUGACUUGAGAGUACCAAGUAACAAGUUCAUGCUCUAUGCUUUAUGAUUCUACAUGAAUUCCAUGUUAUUGAUGUAUUGUGGUGGUGAUAUGUAGUGAACAUGAUGUUGAAGUUAAGAAAGUACUUCCAUGUUGAAUGUAUCCCCUCUCACGUACGAAAUGUUGAGAACCAUGUGUAGUAUUGAAUCCCAUACUUAUGAUAUUGUGAAUUGUGGACUCUAUUCCUAUGAACAAGUCAGUCAUGUGUGUCGGUUUCUUUCCAUCGAGUCCUGGGGCUACUUGUACCUGAAAAAUAUAGCUGUGUGCCUAGAGCCAUGUUAUGUUUUCAUGAUAUCCAUAGUCAAGCCAUGUUUUAUAGAACGCAGUCAGUCAUGUGACUCAGGAAAAAUGCAGUAACUCAGUAUUCUCAGAAAUCUCAUGAACUCAGUCAGUUGUAAGUAGUAUUUCGUCAGUCAACGGAACUCUGUAACUCAGCUCAGUAUUCAUGUUCAGUAUCUAUUCAGAUGGGAGUAGGAUUCAACACCGAGCGAACCCCGGGAUGAGAAUCCACACUGCCAGAUUGAGGGUGAGAUUCCUAGAAGCAAUCCUUGCGUUCCAGAACUACGUAGCCAGCAUAGGUUGAGACAUCAACACUACUAACUUUAGAGUUGAUAAGGCAGAUACCCUCCGUUCUCUUAUGGGGACACUGCCAGAUUUGAGGGUCACUCACAGCUUGUCUUUACCCGUGGCACGGUAUUAGCACCCUUUCAAUUAGGGAACCGAUUGGACCCCGAUUUAGCUAUUGAAGCACAUUCGGGGCAUGUCGAUUAGAUGAAUUCUCCCACAGUUACAGUUUCAGUAUUAGUCUCAGUAAAAGAAUUCAGACAGUUCAUCAGAAUAUCAGGACUGUCAGAUACAGUCAACUCAAUUACAGUACGAAACUCAGCUAGUUCCACCAGCAUUAGACUCUCAGUUACAGUCACUUAUGUUGUCAGUUAUUAGUAUCAUGUUAUGAAAAUUUCAGUCUCGUAAUCAUGUAUGUAUUCUCACAUUCAUAUUAGUCAGUUAAUAUUAGUCAGUUAGUAUAGUUCAUGUAUAUGAACCCUUUGCAUAUAGCUUACUUCACUCGUAUACUCGGUACAUUCAAUUGUACCGACGCAUUUGUGCUAUGGUGCUUUCUCUUAUGUUACACCAUAGGUUCAGAGGCACAAGCUUCGGAGCAGCAGUAGUUGACCAGUUCCAGCUUUCAGCGUCAGUGAAGCCCUUAUAGUUCGUCUUUGACACCAAGCCAAGGGAGAGCUGGACCAUCGGAGUUCCAUUCAUUAUCAGAGUCCUUGAAAUCUCGAUUUAGUUCUCUGUCAAUGAAAUAUAAAGAAUCCAUCUCAAAGAAUACACGAGGGUGGAAGGAGAGAUUGUUUUCUCGAUGUUCUUAAAUGCCAAAUGCUAGUUCUUCUAGGAGUGAGGCAGAUGUUGGAAUUGCUGGUGUAUCUUAACUAAUAAAACGCCUUGAAACUUAAGAAAAUAGUAGAGUUGGUUCUGUUCCAUCUAACUACUAUAGUGGAUUCUUAACACACGCUCCAGAGAGACCAUGCUAAUAUGGGAAAUCAUAUUGCAAAUGGUUUGAAUAGAAAGUCAACAACACCUACUGCAAGUUCAGCUCUGAAUUAAGUCUUCUAUUUAAGCAUUUACCUGGAAUUUGUCCUCAUCAUUUCAUCUUUGAAUGUGGAACAGAUUUAGCGUUGGCUAAAAAUAGAAUGUCUGGUGCUAAAAAAAUACUUCUAUUGAGUAGCAUGUCGAAGUUAGGGAAGACUCAUCAGCAAAGGUUGUUAGUCAGUUGUUGGAUUUCAAACCAUCGAGAUGGAACAGAUUCAGCGUUGGCUAAAAUCAGAAUGUCUGUUACUAAAAAACACUUUUAUUGAGUGGCAUUUCGGGGUUAGGGAAUACUCAUCAACAAAGGUGGUUAGUCAGUUGCUGGAUUUCAAACCAUUGAGAAUUUUCAAGCACUUGACACGUUUUGCAGUAAAAUUUAUCGCCAUCUUUGCAACUCAGGUUCUGAGUUUGAAAUACAAUUUGAAUUCAAUGCUAUAGUUUGUUUUUGAAUAGCAGAGAUAAUGAUAAGUUAUUAUUUAGUGUUUAUCAUUAAAAAAAAUUUUAGUUGAGGAUACAUUUUUUGUCGUAAAAUAUCAGUAAAAGUUACUAAAAGUUACUGCUUACUUUAUAUUUAGUAGAGUUAAUAUUUAUUAGAGAUAAUGAUAAGCUAUUAUUUAGAGUUUAUCAUUAAAAAAUAAUUUAGUUGAUACGUUUUUGGUUGAAAAAUAUCAGUAGAAGUUAC